rnacentral:lncRNA from 1 species
AGCGGACUGGCCACAGAUUGGUGACAAACAUUGAAUAACAUUAUUAUAGUUAUUUGUGUCUUUGCCUCUGAGUUUUAGAUCAUACUAAGGAUGUUGGACUUCAUCCUGUGGUGUUACUGGAACCAUAAAGACUCUGGAAACAAAGACUCAUGGCAUGGUCAGAUCUGCACUUAGGAGCAGAGUGGAGGAAGGAUUUAUGGCUGCAAAAACAGUAGGAAGGUCAGCUUGAAAAAUACUGAAGGACCCUCUCAGUUGAAAGAUGGCAAGGCACUGGCAUGGGGGGAAAGAACAGAUUCAAAAUAUAGAAAAUAAGAUCGACAGGACUUGAUUGAUUGGCUGAGGGGUUGAGAGGAGAGAAUGAGGGUUUAGGGUGACUCUCAGGCUCCUAGCUUGGGUGACUGAGUAUGUGGAAUGGAGUGUUCCUUCUCAAAACUCUGGAAUAGCCUUCAUCAAAUAUUCGUGGCCUGCAAAUCCUUUAUCCACAAUUCCUAAAUUUAAAAAAAUUAUGAAAACCAAAAGCUUGACCGGGUACUGUGGUUUAUGCCCUUAAUCUCAGCACUUUGGGAGGCUGAGGUGGGUGGAUCACCUGAGGUCAGGAGUCCAAGACAAGCCGGCCAACAUAGCGAAACCCCGUCUCUACUAAAAAUACAAAAAUUACCUGGGCGUGGUGGCGCAUGCCUGUAAUCCCAGCUACUCGGGAGGUGGAGGCACGAGAAUCGCUUGAACCUGGGAAGCAGAAGUUGCAGUGAGCCGAGAUCGCGCCAUCGCACUCCAGCCUGGGUGACAGAGUGAGACUCGGUCUCAAAACAAAACAAAACAAAACAAAACAGAAGAAAACAAAAAUUAACUGGGCGUGGUGGCGGGCGCCUGUAAUCCCAGCUACUCGGGAGGUGGAGGCAUGAGAAUCGCUUGAACCUGGGAAGCAGAAGUUGCAGCAAGCUGAGAUCACGCCAUUGCACUCUGGCCUGGGCGAUAAAAGCAAAACUCCGUCUCAAAAACAAAAACAAAAUCUUUUUCAUAACAUAUUUGACAAUAAAACCUAAUCUGAACUGAAUUUAUUUUGUGGCAGAACCUGACCUAAACUUACAUAAGGUUAUUUAUAGUUUUCACUUUUCCAUCUUUCACUUACCACAGUAUGAAGUCAUAUGUGUCAUUCCAGAAAUAUUAAUUUGUUUGAUUACUGGGUGCUGUCCUGAUGCAUUGGGAUUGUUGCUUUAUAUUUUGUAUAUGCACCAUACUAUCUUUCAAAAAUCCAAAAAAUUUUGAAACACAUUAACCAUCCAGAUUUCCCACCCCAUUUACUCAUCAGUGUUGGCCUGAGUUCUUUUGGCUAUUUGCAUAAAUCCAAUCCACCUGCAGAUAAUGAAUAUUCAUUGCAUUGUG